UCGUCAACGCGGCUUGUUCUAGUGGUCUAAAAAGCCGAAGUAACGUACGAGAACGGAGCAUGAUUAGAAAAGCGAUACAGGUACGAUUCAUAUUCGCUGGCCACAUUUGUCGCCCCGCAAUCCUUAUUGCAUCGGAUCGUGGAUUUCCCUCCGAUUCGUCGUCGUUGAUGAAGAAACCCAAGAAGUUGUUGGAGAGCCUUAUCAAGCCCUUCUUCGGCCGCAAAAAUGAGGGCAAAAAGGAGGACUUGGAGGCGAUCGCGGCCAAGGAGCAGAAAGUAUUCAGGUAUGAGACGCUGGUGGCGGCCACUCGCAACUUCAACCCUAAGCAGAAGCUCGGGGAAGGGGGAUUCGGUCCGGUCUUCAAGGGGCUGCUGGAGGAUGGGCGGGAGGUGGCGGUGAAGCGGCUGGGGCGGUCGUCGCGGCAGGGGUCGAGGGAGUUCCAGAACGAAGCGAUGCUGUUGUCCACGGUGCAGCAUAGGAACGUGGUGACCCUCCACGGCUACUGCGCCCACGCCGACGAGCAGCUCCUCGUCUACGAGUACGUCCCCAACGAGAGUCUCGAUAAGCUCCUCUUCUCCAAGGAGGGUAAUUCGAAGAAGGUGGAGCUGGAAUGGAAGCUAAGGUAUCAGGUGAUGGUUGGGGUGGCUCGGGGGCUGCUGUACCUACACGAGGAUGCGCACACCACCAUCAUACACCGUGACAUCAAGGCCAGCAACAUCCUGCUGGAUGACCGAUGGGUCCCUAAGAUUGCGGACUUUGGGAUGGCACGCUUGUUCCCCGAGGUUCAGACCCAUGUCAACACUCGUAUUGCCGGCACCAACAGCUACAUGGCGCCGGAGUACGCCAUGCACGGCUUCCUCUCCACCAAGGCCGAUGUCUUCAGCUUCGGCGUCUUGGUCCUCGAGCUCGUAUCAGGCAGAAAGAAUUCUGCAUUCAGUCCCCUCCCCGACCCUGAUGCUGACAGCCUUCUUGAAUGGGCUUGGAACCUUCACAAGAAGGGCCAGACUCUGGAGCUGAUGGAUCCCGCACUGUUGCCCACGGCAGACGUAGAGCAAGUCGCAAUGUGCAUUCAGGUCGGUCUCCUCUGCACUCAGCGUGACCCCAAGCUGCGGCCGGACAUGAAGCGCGUAGUGAUGAUUUUGUCCAGAAAGCCAAGCAUUCUACAGGAGCCAACCCAGCCUGGGAUUCCCAGAACCAGAUUUCUGAGCUCUCACGGAACACGCGGUUCCCGCACGGGUUCCGGCAGUUCGGGUGGUGCAUCUUCCUCUACUGUAAACUCUGCCUCCACCUCAGCGGCUACCACCUCAACAGCAAGAUAUCAUUCAUCAUAUCAGGAGCAUCGCCCUGUGUGAUUUUGUAUAGUGUGAGCAAGUUUUUGUUCCAUUUUAAUUAGAUGCAUUUUUCUGUGUAAAUUCUUUUGGGAUGCUUGGUUGUGAACUGAACGAGCCUGACUGAAGUAGGCAUAUUCUUUAAUUCAAGGAAAUGCGUGAUUUGAGGUGUUUA